rnacentral:rRNA from 1 species
GACGAACGCUGGCGGCGUGCCUAACACAUGCAAGUCGAACGGAAAGGCCCUGCUCUUGUGGGGUUCUCGUUUGGCGAACGGGUGAGUAACACGUGUGUAACCUCCCCUUGUCUUUGGGAUAUCUUCUGGAAAAUGGGGCUAAUAUCGCAGAGGAUCUCUUGCAGCACGUGGUGGGUUGGAAAGUGUCGGCUGUGGGGGCUGGACUCGCGGGUUAUGAGCUUCAUGGUGGGGUAGUUGCUUACCAGGGUUACGACGGCUAGCCGGCAUGGGAGGGUGGACAGGCACAUUGGGCCUGAGAGACGGAGCAGACUCCUACGGGAGGCAGCAGUCGGGAGUAUUGCGCAGUAGGGGGAAGCCUGAGACAGCGGCGCCGCGUGCGGAAUGCCGUCCUUCGGGUUGUAAACCGCUUUCGCCUGAGACGAAGCGUGCGUGACGGUAAUGGGUCAAGAAGCACCGGCUAACUACGUG